CGGGUGCGUAACGCGUAUACAAUCUACCUUUUACAGGGGGAUAGCCCAGAGAAAUUUGGAUUAAUACCCCAUGGCAUAUAUUUAUUGCAUCAUAUAUAUAUUAAAGAUUCAUCGGUAAGAGAUGAGUAUGCGUUCUAUUAGCUAGUUGGUGCGGUAACGGCGCACCAAGGCUACGAUAGAUAGGGGCCCUGAGAGGGGGAUCCCCCACACUGGUACUGAGACACGGACCUG
rnacentral:rRNA from 1 species